UAAAAAAAGCUCCCUCACCAGCGCACCGCCGCCGGCCGGCUCCCUCCCCAGCACACCGCCGCCUCGCUCCCUCCCCAGCUCGCUGCUGCUAGGCUCCCUGCCCAGCACGCCACCGCCCCCGACUCCCUCCCCAGCGCGCCACCGCCAGGAUACCUCCCAGCGCAUCGCCGCCCUAUUCCUUCCCUAGUGUGCCGCCGUCAGGAUUCUUCCCAGCGCUCCGCCUCCCGUCUUCCUCCCCAAAGCGCUGCUGCCGCCCGGAUCCCUCCCUAGAAGCCACCGCGGUCUGUUCCUAUCGUCGCCCCCCGAACAUCGCCAAGCCCAGGCUGUGCCGCAACACCUCCAUGAAUGUGUGUGGUGCCCCGGCUCGAUGCCUUUCGGCCUCCAUCACCGUCGCUCCCCGAACUGCUGUCUGCUGCACAAGCAACACAGUGGGCCGUUCGACUUCCUGCCGCUGGCCGUCCUCCCUGCCGCGGGGCACCUCUCCCCCCUGCACCACCCGUGGCGACCUUCACCUACAAGCUUGGGGCAGAGCUCACCCUUCUCCACAUCCUUUUCCUCUAAUAAUUGCAGCCGUUGGCGCCGUGGGUCGCCACAAAUCAAGGUCACCGCCCCUUGGCUCUUGCUGCUCUCGACGCAGAUAUUUUAUGCCAGUAAGGUGUUUGUGUUAAUGUCUGAAAAGAGAAGAAUUUUUUCCCCUGAAUUUUGUUUUGUGUUAGGAUGGCUAGUGACAUUGGAGAAUAAGUGGAGUACAAAUCUAAUUUUCUUGGAGGUUCAUUGUGUCUCUGUCGAGCAGUACAUUCUCUAAAUUAAGUCUGAUGUAAUUGGUUAAUGAAAACAAAACAAUUGUUCAAAUGUGCAUUAUAGAAAACAAUUCAUACAAAAAAAACAGUCAGUAGUCAGUUUGUUUUACAAAAAAGUUCACCACAUAAAAAAUGCAACAGUAGUUCAACACAAUAUCCAGGAGGGUGUGAGUUGGGCAUGUUUACAAACGAAAGAUAUGUGUCGAAAAGUUCACUUCAUCUGCAGAGCAUUAGAUUGUCAAAAAGUAGAAUGGUUGAGCUAGUUCAGGUUUUUCAGUCCAUCUUUUGUUUGCUAUUUGGUUCAUCUAAUUCCGAAUCAUAAGUACAAUUCCCUUUAUGUUCUGUAUCUUCAUAUAACACAAAACAGGCACCGGAGGAUAAGGUGAGAAUAUAUAUUAAUAAAAUGUGUGGUGGCAUUGUCCACAUUUUGAAUUUAAACCACUAGCUUUUUUAUACACAAGGGCUUGUCCUGGGAGAGCCCCAUAUAGGCAUGAGCACUACUGCUACGAACUUUAAUCCCCCAUUUUUCCGGCCUGCAGAGCAUUAGAAAAAGUUCAAUUUUGGAAAUCCAUUCAUUUCUAUGGUUAGUAGACUGGUGGUUCAUCUUGCUAAAACUUGCGGUUUAAAGUUUCUCUUUUUGUUACAGUAGUUCAGUGUGUAUUUUAAGAAGAAAAACCAACAAUGGCGGCUGCACUGGAGCCGCAAGACUACUAUUACUGAUAGGUUUGUGAACUAAUAAACAUUGUUUUUAUGUUCCUGUGAUGUUUCAUAUUAUUGUGAACUGAUAGUUGAUGCUCUUUGUGGACUGAUAGCUGAUACUUUUUGUUACUAGUAAAGGAAUAUUAUUUUGUUACCCUCGAUCCCUUAUAGGUCGUGAUCUAUUUCUCUGAACUAGUACGCCGAACAGGAAAGGAAAAAAAAUCCCUCACACCAAAUCUGGAUCAAGUCAAUCGAACCCCGACCCCGAGCGCCAUCAUCUACCACCUUCCCUGUCCGCUGCGCCUCCGGCCACCAUCCCCCGACCGCCACGCCUCCGCCCGUCUUCCCCGGCCGCCGCGCCCCCGACCAUCUUCCCCCGGCUGCUGUGCCUCCGGCUACCCUCCACGGCCACCGCGCCUCCGGCCUCCUCCCUCCGCUGUGUCGUGCCUCCGUCCACCUCCCUUCGCCGCCGCUGCGCCUCCGGCCACCUUCCCCCAGUCGUCGCGCCUCCGGCCUCCUUCCCUCCACCAGCGUCGCUCCUCCGGCCACCUCCCUCCACUGCCACCCCUUGGGCCACCUCCCUCUGCCACCAUUCAGCCUCCGGCCACCUCCCUCUGCCACAAUUCAGCCUUCGGCCACCUCCUUCCGCCACCACCCGCCUCGAGUCACUUCCCUUGUGGAUGCACUCCCCAUGAAGAAGACCCGCCGUUCGCCACCUACUGCUGGCCCAGCUCCUGGAUCCACUACAUCAGCGCACGCAUGUUCAGUUUCGGUGAAAAAAGGAGCUCCCCUUUGAGUUCAAAUGGGUUCAAAAAAAUGGUUUGCUACAUUACAGUUAGUGUUUUUUUGUGUGUUGUUUGUGUACUCGCAGUUACUUUUUGGGCAUCAUUCGAUCUGGACCAUAGUUGCUGCAGGGAUCUAUUUAGUACAUAUAAUUACAAAAACAUAGUUCAAAUAAUAUUCCCCCAAAAGUUCAAUAUUUAGGGUUCUGCGCGUGUCCUUACAUUAGCUAAUCUUCAUCAUGUCCAGAUAAUGCCUAAAGUGAAGAGAUUUUUUUUAAUUCAACUUUUGAAUGCCUUUCAGUUCAUCAACUUCUCAGCUGUCCUGAGUAGCAGCAUUGCUGCUACUAUCAAUGGGUUUGCAAGUUGCAACCAUUAUUGAUGCAUUUGUAUUUCUGAUCACUGAUGGUUUCAUGAGGAUGUGCUCAAAAAUUGCUACUGUAGGUUGCUCUUUGUUGCAUUUGGUACCGUCAAUUAAAAAUCAUUCUUUCUUAUGUUUCUGUGUUGUCAAAUAAAAUCUAAUGUACAUGUGAUGUCCAGUUUCUUUAGGUUCAGUUCAAUAUCUAAAAUCCGUUCAGUUUAAUUCUUAUGCGUCGUGAAAAAUACAUAUAACAUGCUUUGUUGUCUGGGAUUUGGGGGUGCCUAGUUUGGCUAAGAAUGCCUUAAUUACUGCUUUCUUUGCUUUGUUCAAGUGACAGAAAAAAUCGGUUCGAGAAUAUAUAUGCAGGAGGUUGGGAGCAAAAAAACCUCAUAAUUUUUCUCGGUUCAAUGAUUGGAAGCAAUAAAACUGUAGCUAGUGGUUUCGAUGUGUCAAAAGAUGAACAUUUCUGCUCAAAUUAAGUUUGCAUCAGAGAUAUAGCCAUUUUCUUAGUGAAUUUUCUUUUAGUGAAACUUAUUUGAUUGCUCAAGAGAAGUGUUAUUUACUAGUGAAUUUUCUUUUAGUGUAGAAGUUCAAUAUGUAUUUAUAUCAACAGUCCGUAAUGAACAGUACAAUCUAUGUGCUAAAACAUAACAGAUCAGUUCAUUGUCAGUACAGGCUCUGAAGCUGCUCAGUAUAGGUUGAGGAACAUUUUUGGAAUCACAUAUAUAUAGCGGUUGCUUCCAAAUGAAUUUGUCGUUGCUAGUACAUUUUUGGUAGCAGAUGCUUCCAAGUGAAUUGCCGUUACUACUAUCUACGAUGUUGCUGCCAUGUUUUGUUGUUCUUUGAAUUUAGUAUGUAACCACUGCUCAUGGUAACAUCAAACAACAAUUUUUAUAUGCCUGGCAUGUUUGAUCUGAUUUGACUCCAUGACCAUAGUGCAAAACAAAAAACUACAGUAUCCUUGCUAGCUUACAGCUGUAAUUUUGAUUGCACAGUAGUUUAAUUGCAUCGCCAUCUCCCGGUGGGGCUCUGCUGCCGGAGCACCCUGGCCAUUCACAGCCACCACUCCAGGCCAUUCAACGCCACCACCCAUGGCCAUUCAUUGCCAACAGCACCCUGGAUCCCACCCCUCACCCUAGUUGUUUCAGUUAUCGAGUGAGUUUUAGUCCAACUUGAGCUCCUUGAGAUGAUCAUAUAAUUAACUUCAAAAUUAUUACAUGGUCCAUGUAUUUUAUAGCAAGUCCAUGUAGUACUACAUGGGAAGUACAAAAAUUACUUCUAGUGAGAGUUCAUUUAAAUCUACAGGGUCCAGUCCCAUAUAUCUUUUAACCAGGUUCAUGGUGAAGCCCAGGGUGCUCGUCGGCGAUCACAAGAAGCAGACCAUCGAGAAGGAGCUGGGCGACAUGGUGCAGCGGUGUGGCCAGUUCAACCACCUAGCUAAUACAUCAUGAUUUUCUCUCUUUUGCCUAUGUCUCUUAGUGUGUUACCCCUUCCUCUUUUCAUAUAGCGUAUUCUGAACAUCAGAUGCUUUCAAAAAUGUGCCGCGCAAGUUCAAGUAUAGCUGCUGCAGGAGUUCAAAAAUCUGAACAGUUUAAGCUCAACCCAAUUUCAAGAACUGUUUCCUUUAUAAAUUGUUUGAAGUUUGUGAUUUUGGCUCAUGGCAAGAGCUCGUUGACGAUGAAGUAUGUGAAGCUUCACCACCAUUCACAACUCCAGUAUGGUCCAGUUCGUCAUGAGGAUCUGGAGCUUCAACUUUUUCAGUUCAUCUUUCAUAUGCUUUUUAGUACAUCUACUUCCUCAUCGUAAGUCCAAUUUCCCUUUUAUGUUUCCAGCUUCCCAUAGAACAAACGUGUGCUUGUGGUUAAGCAUGAGAAAUGAUCAUCUGUACUGUCUCUUGGUUUAAUCAAUUUGUAGAGCAAAACAUGUACCAAAGUCAAAUUCUCAAAAAAGGCUCUUCUUUGCAUCUUUCAGUGCUCACUUAGGUUGGCAUCAAAUUAUUUGCUUCUUUCGAUGCUGUAAAAUUAUGAAUUUUGGGUAUAUCUUUUGGUGCGUAUUUCUGUUUGUAUAAAACUUAUAUGUUACAUUUUCUUGAGGGUGCAUAUUUCUGUUUGUAUAAAACUUAUAUGUUACAUUUUCUUGAGAAAAAUGGAUGCAUCAUUCACAACCGUUUUUGAUAACUAAGUAGAAUGACUAGUACUGAGAGCAAGUAUUCUACAAAUGUACAUAGUAUGAUUUUAUUAAUGGAUAAGGACAUGAAAUCAUAUCUUACUUCAAAGUUUGAGCACACGACUAUUUUGUAUCUUUACUGUUUCUAAUAGCAAGUUUUGCAAUUGAUCCGUCCAUAUGGAAGAAGGAAAUCAGUCCAACAGGCGCAUCUAAAGUGACAUGUCGUGCACCGCCCACUCGUCCUCAAGCUGCUCGUCGUGUCAUGUCGGCUUGCCAUCAACCACAGUUGUGGCUCAACCCCCACGGUGCUUCCCCUCUAUUGCUGCCCUCACCAUGCUCUCAUGCGUAUUGGCGGCCUCGACGAGCUGACUAUGGUUUUUGCUCCUGCGUGCUGCAGUACACCGCCGAGCUGGUCACCAUUUAUAUUUUUGUUUUAAAUUCAUUUGUGUUCUUGUUGUCAGGUCGCUUGCAAACUUGUUAUUGUUGUUAGUUCAUGUGUGUUCUUAUUGUUAGGUCCUGUGCAACUUUGUUAUCAGUUCAUGUGUAUUGUGUUUCUUUUGUCGCUUCAUUAGUACAUAUCCACCUACAGCCCGUUCAAUGAUGUAAGCCACACAAGUUCAGAAAGAAAUGGAUAAAACAAUGGUGUUGGUGAAAAGAAUACAGCCCAUUCAAUGAUGUAAGCCAUGCAAGUUUGAAAGGAUUCACAUCAGUACAAA